AUUGAACGCUGGCGGCAGGCCUAAAACAUGCAAGUCGAACGAGUGGCGGACGGGUGAGUAAUGUCUGGGAAACUGCCCGAUGGAGGGGGAUAACUACUGGAAACGGUAGCUAAUACCGCAUACCAUCGGAUGUGCCCAGAUGGGAUUAGCUUGUAGGUGAGGUAACGGCUCACCUCGGAGACGAUCCCUAGCUGGUCUGAGAGGCUGACCAGCCACACGGGAACUUAGACACUGUGCAGACUCCUAAGGGAGGCAGCAGUGGUGAAUAUUGCACAAUGGGCGCAAGCCUGAUGCAGCCAUGCCGAGUGUAGGAAGAAGGCCUUCGGGUUGUAAAGUACUUUCAGCGGGGAGGCGUUACCCGCAGAAGAAGCACCGGCUAACUCCGUGCCAGCAGCCGCGGUAAUGC
rnacentral:rRNA from 1 species